rnacentral:rRNA from 2 species
UACGUAGGGGGCAAGCGUUGUCCGGAAUCAUUGGGCGUAAAGAGCGUGUAGGCGGCCCGGUAAGUCCGCUGUGAAAGUCGAGGGCUCAACCCUCGAAUGCCGGCGGAUACUGUCGGGCUAGAGUCCGGAAGAGGCGAGUGGAAUUCCUGGUGUAGCGGUGAAAUGCGCAGAUAUCAGGAGGAACACCUACGGCGAAGGCAGCUCGCUGGGACGGUACUGACGCUGAGACGCGAAAGCGUGGGGAGCAAACAGG